GGACUACACGGGUUUCUAAUCCUGUUUGCUCCCCACGCUUUCGCACCUCAGCGUCAGAAAUGGGCCAGUGAGCCGCCUUCGCCACUGGUGUUCUUCCUAAUAUCUACGAAUUUCACCUCUACACUAGGAAUUCCACUCACCUCUCCCAUUCUCCAGAUUGCCAGUAUCGAAGGCCAUUCCAGGGUUGAGCCCUGGGCUUUCACCCCCGACUUAACAAUCCGCCUACGUGCGCUUUACGCCCAGUAAUUCCGAACAACGCUAGCCCCCUUCGUAUUACCGCGGCUGCUGGCAC
rnacentral:rRNA from 1 species